UUGGGGGGGGGCGCAGUGGGGUAUUUUGCACAGUGGGCGAGAGCGUUAUCCACCCAUCCCGUGUGCGAGAAGAAGGCCUUGGGGUUGUAAAUUUUUUUUGUGGGGAAAAAAAAGCUCUUUUUAAUACCGGGGGAAAUGAGGGUACCGUAAGAAAAAGCCCCGGCAAAAUACGUCCCCGCAGCCGGGGUAAUAUGUGGGGCGCAAGCUUUUUUGGGAAUUUCUGGGUGUAAAGCGUGCGCGGGGGGUUUUAUAAGACAGAGGUGAAAUCCCGGGGCUCAACCUGGGAACCGCUUUUGAGACUGCAAGGCUGGAGUGGGGGAGGGGGGGGGGGAAUUCCGCGUGUAGCAGUGAAAUGUGUAGAUAUGGGGGGGAACACCGGGGGAGAAGGCCAUCCCCUGGCCCUGCACUGACGCUCAUGCAAGAAAGCGGGGGGAGCAAACAGGAUUAGAUACCCUGGUUGUCCACGCCCUAAACGAUGUCAACUGGUUGUUGGGUCUUCAACGACUCAGUAACGAAGCUAACGCGAGAAGUGACCGCCUGGAGACCC
rnacentral:rRNA from 1 species